rnacentral:rRNA from 1 species
UGGCUCAGGAUGAACGCUGGCGGCGUGCUUAACACAUGCAAGUCGAACGGGGAAACGAUGAAAGAAGUUUCGGAUGGAAUUUAUGUUUCUAGUGGCGGACGGGUGAGUAACGCGUAAACAAUCUGCCUUAGAGAGGGGGAUAACAGAUAGAAAUAUUUGCUAAUACCGCAUAAGACCACAGGUAGGCAUCUACUAGGGGUAAAAGGAGCAAUCCGCUUUAAGAUGAGUUUGCGUACUAUUAGCUAGUUGGUGAGGUAACGGCCCACCAAGGCGACGAUGGUUAGCCGGCCUGAGAGGGUGAACGGCCACAUUGGAACUGAGAUACGGUCCAGACUCCUACGGGAGGCAGCAGUGAGGAAUAUUGGGCAAUGGGCGAAAGCCCUGACCCAGCAACGCCGCGUGAAGGAAGAAGGUUUUAGGAUUGUAAACUUCUGUUGUAAGGGAAAAAGAAAGUGAUGGUACCUUACGAGGAAGCUACGGCAAACUAUGUGCCAGCAGCAGC